ACAUAAAUUUUUAUGAAGAAUAUGUUUUCAUAAGUCGUCGUCAGCAAAAAGGAGACGUAAUUUAACAAUUUAAAGCAAGGAAAGAAGACCAUGGUUGAAUAUGAUUGAGAAUUAUGUGACAUAUCUCGAUAUGCGCCUUAGAAGGUUGACACAUAUAGUAGUUGUAACUUCUCAUAGAGUUUUGAUGUAGUGCCCUUGCUUGUUGGCUAGCCAAACAUUCCUUCAACUAAUGAAGAUAUAUCUCAUUUCCAUUUCUUCCCACCAAACUUUUGUUUGAGAUCUUGAUAUAAUUUAGUGCUUCUUUGGUGGGCACUAUAUAGCGUAUCAUGAGCUUUACUCUCAACCGUUCAGUAUUGGGUACACAACUUUUCUCAAACAUGAUAGCAGUACCCCUAGCUUUUGGGCAAGUAUUGAUCUCUUCUAUCAUAAUCCUUGCCCGUAAUUUUUCUAACUUUUCAUAUUUCCUUUGUAUUGUAACAAUUCUGAUUCUCAAAUCAGGAGUUACUGUUGAAAUUGCAAUUACAGCUUCUAUGGUUUGUGGUGGUAAAACCACAUCUAAAUUCAACCUUUCGAAUUCCUUGAUCAAUUUUCUUCAUGGGUAAGGAGAAAUCCUUAGUUAACUUGAGUUUUUCUACUCAAGGCAUCCACUACUAUAUUCGCUUUGCGUGGGUGACAAAUUAUUCUACAAUCAUAGUCCCUUAUUAAUUCGAGCUAUAUUCUUUGCCUUAUACUUAGAUCUUAAUGCUCGAAUAAGUAUUUUAAACUUUUAUGAGGUGUAUCAAUUCCACAUCUCGUUUCAUAAUACUAUUGUUGCUAGCUCCAAGUUAUGUUGAGCAAUUCAGUUCUUGCGGUCUAAAUUUUCAUGACCCAUUAACAAUAACUCUUUCACUUUGCAACAAUGCAUAACCAAGUCCAUCUUUGAUACAGAGGACCGAUUUUAUAUGGUCUUUCAACUUUGAGAAUUCGGCCAUAUUUUAAAAUAGCCUUUCAUCCAACAAUAGAUGAGCAAUUUGAGAGAAAUCUUUAAACCUUGGAAGAUGUGAUAUAGAUUAUUGUACUAGAGCGAAGAAGCGGCGGCUUUAGCAGAAGGGACGCUGGCAAUCGUGGGUGAAUCCGGGUUCCAAAACUCUCUUUUCAAAAAUGAUUUGUCUUUUCCCUAGCACGGUAGGAGUGAAUUCCCCGCCUACAGAGGGCAGGAGACGACCAUCUCAAGGUGCAUCAUGCGUACUCAGAAGCCGCAUUAUGCACUAGAUCGAAGGAUGAAUUGGGAAAAAGCUUUUGCUACUCAUUGAAUUUGCCUACAAUAAUAAUUUUUGGGCAACAAUUGAUAUGACACCAUGUGGAGCUUAUUGUGGAAAGAAAUAUUGAUCUCCACUCUAUUGACAUGAGGUAAGUGAAAGAAAAGUGACAGGACCUAAUGCGGUUGAAUAAAUGAUUACGCUUAUCCGACAAAAUCGACAACUGCUCAAGGAACCUCAAGAGCAACAUAAACUUUUUGUAGAGGAUGAAGUUUUUCUCAAUGUUCCGCAUUCCAAGAGUGCACAAGAUCGAUGUGAAAAACAAGUAUCUAGAAUUAUUUUCUAACGUAGUCAAAUUUCGAGGACGAAAUUUUUUUAAGGGGGAAAGGAUGUAACACCCGGCUUUUUCACUACAGUAUAUAUUAUUAAUAUUAUUUCCUAUUUUCUAUUAUCUAAAAGAAGAAAGAGAAGUAGAAUCACAGAGAUGAGAUGAGAUAUUAUUAAAAUAUCCUGAGCUUUUAAUUUGCAUCCUUUAUUAAUUUUAUUCUUUGAAGCAAGUUUAUAAUUCCUAGUUAAAGGGAUUAUUUUAUUAUUUUCAGAGAUGAGAUUGGUGAUAAAUAAGAAAUAUUAUUAGUCGACUUAUCGCUCGACUAAUCGAAGUGACGGAUGUUAUUUAAUUAUUUAUCUAUGAGCUUUUUAUUUUAAUAGUGAUGAUUUAAUAUUAAGUCAUGAAUUUGAGAUCAUAUUUGAGAUAGCAAGAAUUUUAUUUUAGCAAAUUCAUUUCCUAAUUUUAGGAAUGAAUUUAUUUGGGAUUUUAUCUCACAAGAAAUUUGAGUUAAAGUAACCUUUGAAGUUUUAUUUAUUUAUUUUAAAAUUUUCUAUUUCACUUGUGUCUAUGGAUUUUGGUUUGAUAUAUGCACAAGGAGUAAUAUGGAGUGGAUUUUAUAACAUUUUCCUUAAAACUUUAUUAAUAAAAUAGCAUGUAUAUCUAGUUUUUGGAUUAGAACAAGAAAAAGCUUAUGGGAGAAGUCAUUACUUUCUUUAUCCUUAUCUUCCCUACGACUUUCCCUUUCAUGCGUAUAAUCUCCAUUCUUCUUUUACUUCAAGAAAACAUGAAAACCUACUUUUCAUUUUAGUUCCUUGCUCAGACGCUAUUUUCUCCCACUUGUUCUUUCAUUUCUUUUGUUGUUUCCUCACCAAGCUUUCGGAACAAUUGAAUCCUCUUAUAAUCAUCCAAGAGUACAGGUUCGAGUGGCUUUAUAAAGUAAACAAGCAAGGAUCUCUACUUCAUUAAGCAUAUCAGGUUGAGUAGCUGCCGAUGGUGAUGAAGUGACGAGCGGGACUCUUUUGUCUUAUUAUGUAUUAAUGAACUCUAGGGAUACAUGUCUUCAUACAUGUAAUCAGAACCUUAUUCCGCUGCGUACUCAGAAGUUUUAUGUUAUUUUGGCUAAGUCGGAGUUAUCCGAACUUACUAGUUAUUUGAGUCUAUACGACUAAACCUCCGUUAUAUUAUA